rnacentral:rRNA from 1 species
GAUGAACGCUGGCGGCGUGCCUAAUACAUGCAAGUCGAGCGAACGGACGAGAAGCUUGCUUCUCUGAUGUUAGCGGCGGACGGGUGAGUAACACGUGGAUAACCUACCUAUAAGACUGGGAUAACUUCGGGAAACCGUAGCUAAUACCGGAUAAUAUUUUGAACCGCAUGGUUCAAAAGUGAAAGACGGUCUUGCUGUCACUUAUAGAUGGAUCCGCGCUGCAUUAGCUAGUUGGUAAGGUAACGGCUUACCAAGGCAACGAUGCAUAGCCGACCUGAGAGGGUGAUCGGCCACACGGGAACUGAGACACGGUCCAGACUCCUACGGGAGGCAGCAGUAGGGAAUCUUCCGCAAUGGGCGAAAGCCUGACGGAGCAACGCCGCGUGAGUGAUGAAGGUCUUCGGAUCGUAAAACUCUGUUAUUAGGGAAGAACAUAUGCGUAAGUAACUGUGCACAUCUUGACGGUACCUAAUCAGAAAGCCACGGCUAACUACGUG